CAUUCACAGCCAAGAAACUUCAGGAAAAGCAAAUAUUUCAGAAGGAAUCUCCUCCAAACAAAGAAGAGGUUAUGGAGAACCAAGCAAAGGCCUUCCUUCAGAAAUGUGCGCUUAUGAAAACAUCACAGCUCCGCAGGAGAAUGCAGACAAGCAGGGGUUGGAUCCAUUACUAGCAUGCACUUUAAAGGGGAAAGCUGCAGCUGAGACACCCAAAGUGAGAUUGUACCCAGGGCUAGCAGGAAGAAGCGCAAAGCGGGAGUGAUCAACCCAUGCACAGUACGCUAUUGGUUUAUGGCUGACCGUGAUGUGCAAAUGGGAGCCAUGGACGUGGAAAAGCCGAAUGUUUCAGUGAGAAGGUGAGCUCAUCAUUCCAAAGCGGCAGAGAUCUGUGACAGGACUGUGAUAGCAUGUCUGAAUUGGUUUACGGUGGCAUAAACUCUAAUGGUCUCAUAAGCUGCUUCAUCAGUUUCUUUAAGACACCAUUAAAAUUUUCUGCGUCUUUGGCCUCCUGGCCCCAUUUCCCCUUGAUUUUUGAGCUGGCAGGUUUCUGAGCUGGGAGUCUCUUGGUAUUCAAACAGCACAAAAGGCAACCGAACAAUGACAUUUCUCGGUGUUUUUCUCCUCUUCUGGCUCCCUCCAUUUUAAGAUCAAAUAUUUACUAACUGGAGUGGCACUGAAUACCAAAUUCAGGGACCCCUAAGCUCUCAUUUAAUGGGAUUUUUCUGGUCCCCACAUGCUAUUAAACUGCACAUUGUUGUUA